rnacentral:rRNA from 1 species
UACGUAGGCAGCAAGCGUUGUUCGGAGUUACUGGGCGUAAAGAGUGCGUAGGCGGUGCUCUAAGUUUGGUGUGAAAUCUCCCGGCUUAACUGGGAGGGUGCGCCGCAAACUGGAGUGCUUGAGUAUGGGAGAGGCAAGCGGAAUUCCUGGUGUAGCGGUGAAAUGCGUAGAUAUCAGGAGGAACACCUGUGGUGUAGACAGCUUGCUGGACCAUCACUGACGCUGAGGCACGAAAGCGUGGGUAGCAAACAGG